CUUUUGAUGUCUACAAAGAAGAGUUCAUUUGGUAUUUAUAGCCAAAUAAAUCAAUGAUAAGUUACAACAAUAACUAUAAUUGUAACUCCCACAAUAAUUAGACUAAUUAUGUUUGUAACUCCAAUAAUAAUUAGGCUAAUUAUAGGCAUGUAAUUGUUAUGUAACUCCUUGUAACUCCAAUCUUCUUAACCAACAUCACUAAUUGUUUAUGGCACCAUAUAGUUAUGGGCUCAUUCUUGUAAUAACACUAAGACAAGACUUAAACC
rnacentral:lncRNA from 1 species